UAGGGAAUCUUCCACAAUGGACGCAAGUCUGAUGGAGCAACGCCGCGUGAGUGAAGAAGGUUUUCGGACCGUAAAGCUCUGUUGUUGGUGAGAAGGAUAGAGGUAGUAACUGGCCUUUAUUUGACGGUAAUCAACCAGAAAGUCACGGCUAACUACGUGCCAGCAGCCGCGGUAAUACGUAGGUGGCAAGCGUUGUCCGGAUUUAUUGGGCGUAAAGCGAGCGCAGGCGGAAGAAUAAGUCUGAUGUGAAAGCCCUCGGCUUAACCGAGGAAUUGCAUCGGAAACUGUUUUCUUGAGUGCAGAAGGGGAG
rnacentral:rRNA from 1 species